rnacentral:rRNA from 1 species
AUUGAACGCUGGCGGCAGGCCUAACACAUGCAAGUCGAGCGGAUGAAGGGAGCUUGCUCCUGGAUUCAGCGGCGGACGGGUGAGUAAUGCCUAGGAAUCUGCCUGGUAGUGGGGUAUCACGUCCGUAAACGGGCGCUAAUACCGCAUACGUCCUGAGGGAGAAAGUGGGGGAUCUUCGGACCUCACGCUAUCAGAUGAGCCUAGGUCGGAUUAGCUAGUUGGUGGGGUAAAGGCCUACCAAGGCGACGAUCCGUAACUGGUCUGAGAGGAUGAUCAGUCACACUGGAACUGAGACACGGUCCAGACUCCUACGGGAGGCAGCAGUGGGGAAUAUUGGACAAUGGGCGAAAGCCUGAUCCAGCCAUGCCGCGUGUGUGAAGAAGGUCUUCGGAUUGUAAAGCACUUUAAGUUGGGAGGAAGGGCAGUAAGUUAAUACCUUGCUGUUUUGACGUUACCAACAGAAUAAGCACCGGCUAACUUCGUG